rnacentral:rRNA from 1 species
AGUGAACGCUGGCGGUAGGCCUAACACAUGCAAGUCGAACGGCAGCACAGUAAGAGCUUGCUCUUACGGGUGGCGAGUGGCGGACGGGUGAGGAAUACAUCGGAAUCUACUUUUUCGUGGGGGAUAACGUAGGGAAACUUACGCUAAUACCGCAUACGACCUACGGGUGAAAGCAGGGGAUCUUCGGACCUUGCGCGAUUGAAUGAGCCGAUGUCGGAUUAGCUAGUAGGCGGGGUAAAGGCCCACCAAGGCGACGAUCCGUAGCUGGUCUGAGAGGAUGAUCAGCCACACUGGAACUGAGACACGGUCCAGACUCCUACGGGAGGCAGCAGUGGGUAAUAUUGGACAAUGGGCGCAAGCCUGAUCCAGCCAUACCGCGUGGGUGAAGAAGGCCUUCGGGUUGUAAAGCCCUUUUGUUGGGAAAGAAAAGCAGCAGGUUAAUACCCCGCUGUUCUGACGGUACCCAAAGAAUAAGCACCGGCUAACUUCGUG